UACAGAGGUCUCAAGCGUUGUUCGGAUUCAUUGGGCGUAAAGGGGCGCGUAGGCUGCGGGGCAAGUCGGGGUGUGAAAUCUCAGAGCUCAACUCUGAAACUGCACUCGAUACUGCUUUGCUUGAGGACGGAGAGGAGAUGGAAUUCACGGUGUAGCAGUGAAAUGCGUAGAUAUCGUGAGGAAGACCAGUGGCGAAGGCGGAUCUCUGGACAGUUCCUGACGCUGAGGCGCGAAGGCCAGGGGAGCAAACGGGG
rnacentral:rRNA from 1 species